GCUUACGGCCACACCCCCGCCUGGUUCACGCCCGAUCUCGUUUGAUCUCGGAAGCUAAGAUAGGUUGGGCCUGGUUAGUACUUGGAUGGGAGACGCCUGGGAAUACCAGGUGCUGUAAGCU
ensembl:rRNA 5S_rRNA 5S ribosomal RNA